rnacentral:rRNA from 1 species
UACGAAGGGUGCAAACGUUGCUCGGAAUUAUUGGGCGUAAAGCGCACGUAGGCGGAUUUCUAAGUCGGGGGUGAAAUCCUGGAGCUCAACUCCAGAACUGCCUUUGAUACUGAGGAUCUUGAGUUCGGGAGAGGUGAGUGGAACUGCGAGUGUAGAGGUGAAAUUCGUAGAUAUUCGCAAGAACACCAGUGGCGAAGGCGGCUCACUGGCCCGAUACUGACGCUGAGGCACGAAAGCGUGGGGAGCAAACAGG